CAUGAUGGGAGGCCCCAGAGCAUCAUGGGAGGUGACUCAACUGCGCAUGCUCUAUGGGCCCGUGUACCAGGAAGUAAACCAGGAAGUCAGAAAUUUUUUCGGCGGAUGCGCUGGGUGAGCAAACUCCAUUGAAAUGAAUGGGCGGCCAUUUUCGAUCCGGUAUCCAGUUAUAUAAUACAUCCAUGGCUCCAUUACACGGAGAAGCGGCUCGCAAAAAACCUCCUAAUAUCUUCCGAAGGACUCCAAAUGACACCAAACUUUUCUGGGUGAGUAUACAACCAUAAAAAAUGUCAUAAAUAAGGUCCAGGUUGUAAAAAACCGAACUUUCCCUUUAACUCCAGGUGAAACUACUUAGAGUUGAGUAAAUUACCUCAAAUCCGCUGUUCUGGAACCGAAAACUCAGAGUUUCCGAUCUCAGAGUAGAUCAACUAAGAGUUCAGGAUUAGACUCAGAGUUUGUUGAACCUGCUUUGUGAAACGGACCCCUGGAGUUUUACAGACUUCCAAAAGUUAUCACAAAUCAGGCAGAUACUUGCCGAAACUUAUCAGAAGAAAGGAGACGUCUGUGGCUUGCUGCACUGAAACAGAACUUCACGGGCAAGAAUCUUGACAACAUUCGUGUUUGUUCUUCACAUUUAUUGUCAGUGGUUAACCGAUUCAACUGCAGGAUUCAACUUUCCCACAGCAGCAGGUUUGCCUGAUGGUGGGGAGCUUGCUAACACUCGUCGUACCUGCCUGGUAAGACUUACCUGAUACGUGGGCCCGGAGAACAACCUGCCAAGAAUCUGUCCUCUCUGGAUAGUAAAGCUGCAAAAAUAAAAUAAAUGUAUAUAAAUAAACCAGAUCCUCCUUCCA